UACGAAGGGGGCUAGCGUUGCUCGGAAUCACUGGGCGUAAAGCGCACGUAGGCGGCUUUUUAAGUCAGGGGUGAAAUCCUGGAGCUCAACUCCAGAACUGCCUUUGAUACUGGGAAGCUUGAGUCCGGGAGAGGUGAGUGGAACUCCGAAUGUAGAGGUGAAAUUCGUAGAUAUUCGGAAGAACACCAGUGGCGAAGGCGGCUCACUGGCCCGGUACUGACGCUGAGGUGCGAAAGCGUGGGGAGCAAACAGG
rnacentral:rRNA from 1 species